rnacentral:rRNA from 1 species
AACCUGCCUUUCAUGGGGGACAACAGUUGGAAACGACUGCUAAUACCGCAUAAUGUAUUUGUGUCGCAUGGCAUGGAUACCAAAGAUUUAUCGCUGAGAGAUGGCCUCGCGUCUGAUUAGCUAGUUGGUAGGGUAGCGGCCUACCAAGGCGACGAUCAGUAGCCGGACUGAGAGGGUUGGCCGGCCACAUUCGGGACUGAGAUACGGCCCAGACUCCUACGGAAGGCAGCAG